ACUAAGCUUCAGAGGAGUUUCAGCAACUAAUGUGACGGGACUUUGCUUUUGGAGAUAAAUAAAGAGAAGGCCAUGCUGUAUUUGGGUGUGUAGAUUGUCUGAAGCACCAAAUGCUAUUUGAGAUAGAGAGUAGUCAAGCUUCUUUGCCAGAUUUACUUUUAUAACAUAUUCUAGUUGCUGGACCAUUUGAGUUACUUUCAGCAAAGUUUGGUUCAAGGGCAAAUUAUCCUAUUCAGUCUUAGUCUUGUGCUUGCAAACUGUUGUAGUUAAAGAUGAAGUUAUGUCUAUAGGAGGAAUGGUAUUCAGAAAAUUAAUGAGUUGAGAGACAUAAAAAUUUAUUAAUGAAUUAGAUUCCACUUUGGCUUAUGAAAGGUAAUUAAUUCAUCUCUGUUUUGGAUUAAUUGUAGAAACACAUCCUAAGUGGACUCCUGCAGUGAAAUGAUAAAAUGUAUGGAGUGAAAGGACAAAUGGACAUUAGGUAAUCAUCAGUUUCUGACUGUGACCCACAUACUUUAUGCGUUUGUCACCUGUCUCUGGCAUCUGAGGAUGAUGCUGUUGAGGAUGGUUACCACCUACAUGUGCAGUUAGAGCUACAAGUUCUGGCAGGAGUUAAAGAUGGAAACCAGAGGAGCCUGAGAAGCAGCCAGCCUUGGAGAGGAAAGGGAGCAGAUUAACCUGGAUCAUUUUCUGACAGGGUUUUCCUGGUAAGUUCCAAGUUUUAGUAUUUCGAUCGGGCCUCAAAAUGAUGGAUGGUGCUUCACAGAAUACACUGUAGCCCUAGGUCUUAGACAAUAAUCCAGGGUGAGAAAAAGAUUGUAUGUGUAUAUGCAUGACUGAGUCACUUUGCUGUACAGCAGAAAUUGGAAAAACAUUGUAAAUCAACUAUACUUUAAUUUAAAAAAAAGAAAACAAUCCAGGAAAAGGAACAAAGAAUAAAUUGCCAUAGGUUGGGUCA
rnacentral:lncRNA from 1 species